CAAAGGAAUAAAUCUCACACAGCACCAACACAAGGGCAUUUGCCUAAAAUGGACGCCGAAGUAGAAGUGCGCCAUCCUGCCUGGCCUGAAGCCAAGAGCAGCCGCCAUGUUCCCCGCACCCCAUUAACAACACGUAACACUCAGUUACACACAGUAUAUACACACGGACAGUGUAUACACACACAUCCAACGUGAAAACAACAUGUAUUCCUACACCGCAAACAAGAGACGAAAUAGUGCCGCGCACGGAAAUAAAACCCCUGAAACGAUGCGAAUAAACAAGCUCCGUCAGUGCGGAGGCCGCGUCUGUCUUAUUCGGUCCUCCGGCGGCAUAAAAUAGAUUUUCUAAAAAAAAAAAUCCCAGUAACGUAUCAAUAAAAUGACAGGUUAAUCAAAUCCGAAUAGUAAAAAAUAAACAAAACAAAAAAAAAUAAAUUUCCUCCAUUAUCGGCCUCGCCGCGUCUUCCAGUGCGGAAUAAUAUCCACAGGAAAACCCGUAACUCGGCGGCGGCGGUAGAAGAAACUCCGAGGUAAAAAGGUGCCGACUGUAGUGAAUUGUAUUGAGGCAGCGGCGCUCGGAGCCCGGCGGAAGGAUCGCAAGCCAGCGGAGCCCAGAGAGCUUGGGGCCGGACAUGCCUGGCGGCAGCCUCCUUCCCUCAGCGCCGCGGCCGACCAGAAGAGCUUAAAGCGGAAACUGCAAAUCACAUAAUGUGCCGGUAGCGUUGGGACUGUACGGAAUGUAAGUGCAAACAGAGAGGCGCUGAAGGGGAUCCCAAGGAGCCCAGUACCUCUCACUGCGACAGUGAUGAAGAUAUAGAAGCAACAGGAAGCCACCAGAACCCAUAAAGGCUCUACAAGCAAGAACUUGUUGCUGCCUCAAAAAAGACUUGUUGUUCUUCAAUACGAGAAAGAUGUCAGAUGAAAGAGUUAAAAAUCCAUUGUGCUAAAUCUGAUCGAGUUAUUAUGAAAUGUUAUUACUUAUCUUUAUUCCACACACUAUAAAGAGAUCAUUGUGGUCAUUUCUAAAUAAAGUCAUAUUGGCAUUUUACUGUCAAUAGAUUCACCACCUAAUUCAUUCUGCAGAAAGCUU